UCAUGACUCGUUAACCUAACUCACAACAUGGAGUAGGCUUUUUCUGAAUCACUCUCCCUAGGGUUUUGAACUUGUGGAAGCGGCUAACAUUCAAAUCGCUCAACCCCUAUGGCUUUCAGAUCCUGUAAGUCUGUAUCACCCAGGUUUCAUUUCAUAUACGACACUCUCAUACAUCACAGAAUCAGUCACAAUACACACACAAUUGUUCGUUUUCUUGAAACCCAGUCAAUAGCAAACAACUCAAAUUUCACAGAAAAAUCCUCUCUAACGAUCUCUUACCUCACAAAGUCAUGUGGGUUGUCUCUAAAAUCUGCUAUAUCAGCUUCUAAGAAGGUCAGCAUUAAGAGCACAGAGAAACCGGACUCAGUUCUGGAGCUACUAAGGUCGCAUGGCUUCACUGAAAAUCACAUUUCAGUCCUUAUCUCCAGGUACCCAACUUUAAUUUUGGCUGAUCCAGAGAGAACUUUGAGACCCAAAAUUGAGUAUUUUGAAUCUAUGGGUCUUGUUGGACCUGACUUGGCUAAGAUUCUUUGCUCAUGCUCCAUGUUAACGAACAGUUUAGAAAACCAAAUCAAACCCUCAUUUAAUUUCCUUAAACGAUACUUAAAGACUAAUGAGAAUUUAAUUUAUGCUGUUAAGCAAUAUAGCCGUGUGGUACAGUGCAACGCUGAAAAAGUUAUGUUGCCAAAUAUCCACACCUUGCAGGCUCAUGGCGUGCCUGAUUCCCAUAUUGGAAAACUAAUCGCGCUGAGGCCUAACGCGGUAAUGUUGAGAAGUGAUGUGUUUAAAGAGGUUACUGAUGCACUUAAGGAAAUGGGUUUUGAUCCCACAAGGGUAUCAUACUUAUUGGCUUUUCGAUCGAGAUUUAGCAAACUUAAUUGGGAAAAGAAAAAGGAAGUUUUUAUGAGCUUUGGUUGGUCUGAAAGUGAAUUUAAUUCGGCAUUCAAAUUGGGACCGCUGUGUAUGCUUUCCUCAGAGAAGAAGAUCAGGGAACUGAUGGAUUUCUUCGUGAACAAGGCGGGGUUAAGAGCAUCACAGAUCGCUAAAUGCCCAAAUCUUUUUGUAAGUAGUUUGGAAAAGAGAAUCAUUCCAAGAUGUUCAGUUCUGCAAGUUCUGAUGUCAAAAGGUUUGAUUGGGAAGGAUGUAGGUGUGGUUUGGGCGUUAGAUUGUACCAAAAAGAAAUUCGAAUCCAGGUUUCUGACCAAGUAUAAGGAGGUAACUCCAGAGGUAAUCAAAGCGUACGAGGGUGAGAUAGGAUUUCAAGGAUUCAAUACUAGAUAGUAGGACAAUGUGGAAUCAGAGAAGUGAGCAACUGCUAGAUAUUCCGGCAACAGCAGAGGACUAACAAUAUGGCUGCAUACAAGGUCUGCCAUAUAAGAAGGCAUCCUCUAAUCACUUAAGUGAGAUUUUUUGGUGGCUGAUAAAGUGUAAGAAGAGGGAAAGUUGAAGCGGCUGGUAAUAUCUGAACUUAGACAGUUGUUGGGUGGUGAGGGAGAGCUGACAUUUGUGAAGUAUGGACUGUAUGGGUAUCAUUAGUACUUAAUAUAUCUUCCAAGGUAUUUGCUAUGUUGUUUGCUACAUCUAAUUGGGCUGUUUGGAGAGAGAGAAAUCUCAGAAUGGACCAAGACUGUAGGGGAGAGGCUGAGGAGGUUGCUGGGACUCUGGUUUUUGAGAUUGUUGUUGCUAGUGCGGAUUCUGGUCACACCCCAUUAACGCAAUGGCCAUGAUGGGGGCUUUGCAGGUGGACUCAUAUCCUCUAUCUUUCGUUCAGAUUUGACGCUUUUUGUUCAAUUGGUUGACUUGAUGAACUGUUACCUCUUAUUGGAAUUUAAAUUUUUAUAUAGUAGCAAGUGAAAGGCCUUUAUUGGAAUCAAAAGGCAGAUAAUCUAUUUUCAAGAGUGGUAGGAUAGGGCCGACAGGCUUUGAAUAUCGCGGUAUGCUUUGGUAGCAAUGGGCUAUGUUUGCCUGCCAUUGGAAUCUUCUUUGUAUGGAUGCCUAUGUAGAUUUUAAAUUUCAUUGUAUCAUGAAGCUUCAUAAUUAGAUUUAAUUAUGAUCAGCUACAAAUUCCUUUUUUGAGGAAUUUUAUAUAAUUUGAUAUGUUCUUUUGUCUCAAAACAUGUGAAAAUUUCCAAAUACAUAUCUGGCUAGAUUUAGGUGGUACUGUAAAUUUGAAUGAUGGCCCUCUUGACAUGGAUUUUGUAAUAAAUUUUGUUAUUUUCUUUGAGGUUGUUCCAUCUUCAUAGGUAAUAAAUUCCAAACAUUUUUGGUCUCCAUUUCCAUUCUAAUCACUACAAAAUUACAUAGUGCAAUGUUGAACAUAUAUCUUUUCGCUUACCAACCCUGUGGCUAUUAUAGAAAAAAUAUCCAACUAUAUCCGAAUGGAGUUUAGUCUCUGUGCAGUUGAUUAUAGGUUGAAUCUGACAUGAGUUAUCUUAAUGCUAUUUAGUGGUAAAUAUAAUGCAUGAUUGAUUUAAUCACAAGAUGUUUUCUGAUUUAAUUACGGGUAAAAAUUGUAGAAACCCAAGAUGUUUUCUGAUUAAAUCAAUAUAUGUGAUUAAUUUAGAUUUAAUCACAAUAUGUAGUGAUUGAUUUAAUCACAGUAGUAACAAUAUAUACUUUGUUACUAAAAUCAAAAUGGGUCUUAAGAUGUGUAUGGACGGCUCUAAUAUCACAUGUAAACUAAAUUAGGAUAUCAUGCACAUACAUAAGACACACCGACUAAAUGCAAUUAGGCAAAUACCUACGGAAACUUAGGAACUGAAUAAAUUCAAUCAACUAUUUUGCUCUUCAUUUCACGUCUGCUUUGAUUUGUUUUCGCUCUUCACAUCGGCUUUGAUCUGCAACCUCAAUGAAAUAAACAAUAGAAUAUUGCUUUGAUAUUCCACCCUCUCCACUUUUGCCAUAUUGCUUUGAUCUUCCACCGUCUCCACUUUUGCCCAGACGUCUAUUCAAUGGGGCUAGACUAAACCGAAUUAAGUGUGUAUGUGAGAGUGGGGACCAAGGCUGUAUAUAGAUAUUAUUUGAUAAUGUUCCUCUCAUCAAGGAGUCUAUCAGAUUACCCCUAUUAUAAUCCCAUCAUUAUACGGACUUUAUAUCCAUAUCUCAAAACACGUGAUCACAUGUGACUAAGGUACAUCAUAACCCAAAACCUUAUAAAUAUCACAUUUUUAUAGGGUAUUUGGUAACUCAUUAUUUGGUAUCAAUCCUCAAUCCAAAUUUUAUUUAAAUAUCAAGAUAAAAUAAUAAUUAAUGGAAGCCCAAAAUUCUUAAAGUGUAUAGAGAAAGAUUGCUAAACACCCAAAUCUUUUUCUAACUAGUUUGGAAAGGAGACUCAUUCCAAGAUGUUCGGUUCUGCAAGUUCUGAUGUCAAAGGGUUUGAUUGGGAAGGAUGUAAAUAUGGUUCGGGUGUUAGAUUGUACCAAAAAGAAAUUCGAGACGAGGUUUCUGACC